CUGGCUCAGAAUGAACGCCGGCGGCGUGCCUAACACAUGCAAGUCGGAUGUGCCGCAAGGUGCAUGGCAGACGGGUGAGUAACGCGUAGGGAAUCUACCUCUUUGUGGGGAAUAACGCUCCGAAAGGAGUGGUAAUACCGCAUGAGACCGAUGUCUGGGAUGACAUCGGUGAAACCUGGGGACCGCAAGGCCUGGGGCAAGGAGAGGAUCCUGCGUCUGAUUAGCUAGUUGGCGGGGUAAUGGCCCACCAAGGCGACGAUCAGUAGCCGGCCUGAGAGGGUGAUCGGCCACACUGGAACUGAGACACGGUCCAGACUCCUACGGGAGGCAGCAGUGGGGAAUUUUGCGCAAUGGACGAAAGUCUGACGCAGCAACGCCGCGUGGGUGAUGAAGGUCUUCGGACUGUAAAACCCUGUCGUCAGGGACGAAGGUUGAGGGGUUAAUAACCCUUUAGCUUGACGGUACCUGGAGAGGAAGCCCCGGCUAACUCUGUGCCAGCAGCCGCGGUAAUACAGAGGGGGCAAGCGUUAUUCGGAAUUAUUGGGCGUAAGGGGCGCGUAGGCGGUUUUUUAAGUCAGAUGUGUAAUCCCCGAGCUUAACUUGGGAACUGCAUCUGAGACUGGAAGGCUAGAGUACUGGAGAGGGUGGUGGAAUUCCUCGUGUAGCGGUGAAAUGCGUAGAGAUGAGGAGGAACACCAGUGGCGAAGGCGGCCACCUGGACAGUAACUGACGCUGAGGCGCGAAAGUGUGGGUAGCAAACAGGAUUAGAUACCCUGGUAGUCCACGCUGUAAACGAUGAACACUUGGUGUGGAGGGAGUUGACCCCUUCCGUGCCGGAGCUAACGCGUUAAGUGUUCCGCCUGGGGAGUACGGUCGCAAGGCUGAAACUC
rnacentral:rRNA from 1 species